AAAUUAAAUGUAAAACAUUAAAUUUAAAUAAUUUGGCGGUAUUUUAAAUAAUUAGAGGAAUUUGUUAGAUAAAUGAUAAUCCACGAUAGGAAAGUCCUAAAAAGUAUUUUUAUGUAUUGUUAUUUAAAAAUUAUUUUAAAAGAAUAAAAAUGAUUAGGAAAUUUAAUUAAAUUUAAAUUUAAAUCAAAAUAUAGAAUUUUUAGGAUUAAAUGAAUUACAGUUUAUUUAAAAUUAUAUAAAAAUUGGAAUUUAAUAUUAAAAUA
rnacentral:rRNA from 1 species